GGAAAUCCUGAGGGGUUUGACACUUUUCACCCUCCAGCCAUUAAUCAUCUUGUAGGGAAAGGCUAUACACUGGUGGGAAUAAAAAACAAGCAGUUCCUGGCCAGUGAUACGCCAGUUAAGGGUGUUUGACUGACAGCAUGUUGGCACCAGCAUUGAAGGAAGUGAUGGACUUUGGCUCCAGGUUCCUGUCCUGAGACCACAGCAGGAUGUGCCUUGGACAAAGG